CUGUGAGCUCGAUGAGUAGGGCGGGACACGUGGUAUCCUGUCUGAAUAUGGGGGGACCAUCCUCCAAGGCUAAAUACUCCUGACUGACCGAUAGUGAACCAGUACCGUGAGGGAAAGGCGAAAAGAACCCCGGCGAGGGGAGUGAAAAAGAACCUGAAACCGUGUACGUACAAGCAGUGGGAGCCUCUUUAUGGGGUGACUGCGUACCUUUUGUAUAAUGGGUCAGCGACUUAUAUUCUGUAGCAAGGUUAACCGAAUAGGGGAGCCGAAGGGAAACCGAGUCUUAACUGGGCGUUAAGUUGCAGGGUAUAGACCCGAAACCCGGUGAUCUAGCCAUGGGCAGGUUGAAGGUUGGGUAACACUAACUGGAGGACCGAACCGACUAAUGUUGAAAAAUUAGCGGAUGACUUGUGGCUGGGGGUGAAAGGCCAAUCAAACCGGGAGAUAGCUGGUUCUCCCCGAAAGCUAUUUAGGUAGCGCCUCGUGAAUUCAUCUCCGGGGGUAGAGCACUGUUUCGGCAAGGGGGUCAUCCCGACUUACCAACCCGAUGCAAACUGCGAAUACCGGAGAAUGUUAUCACGGGAGACACACGGCGGGUGCUAACGUCCGUCGUGAAGAGGGAAACAACCCAGACCGCCAGCUAAGGUCCCAAAGUCAUGGUUAAGUGGGAAACGAUGUGGGAAGGCCCAGACAGCCAGGAUGUUGGCUUAGAAGCAGCCAUCAUUUAAAGAAAGCGUAAUAGCUCACUGGUCGAGUCGGCCUGCGCGGAAGAUGUAACGGGGCUAAACCAUG
rnacentral:rRNA from 1 species